CCUACGGGUAGCUGCAGUGGGGAAUAUUGGACAAUGGGCGCAAGUCUGAUCCAGCAAUGCCGCGUGUGUGAAGAAGGCCUUCGGGUUGUAAAGCACUUUUAUCGGGAACGCGGUACCCGAGGAAUAAGCACCGGCUAACUUCGUGCCAGCAGCCGCGGUAAUACGAAGGGUGCAAGCGUUAAUCGGAAUUACUGGGCGUAAAGGGUGCGUAGGCGGUUGUUUAAGUCUGUUGUGAAAUCCCCGGGCUCAACCUGGGAAUGGCAAUGGAUACUGGACAGCUAGAGUGUGUCAGAGGAUGGUGGAAUUUCCGGUGUAGCGGUGAAAUGCGUAGAGAUCGGAAGGAACAUCAGUGGCGAAGGCGGCCAUCUGGGACAAACUGACGCUGAAGCACGAAAGCGUGGGGAGCAAACAGGAUUAGAUACCCUUGUAGUC
rnacentral:rRNA from 1 species